GUCUAUGGCCAUGCCACUCUGAAUGUGCCUGAUCUCGUCUGAUCUCGGAAGCUAAGAAGGGUCAGGCUUGGUUAGUACUUGGAUGGGAGACCACCUAAGAAUACUAGAUGCUGUAGGCG
rnacentral:rRNA from 1 species